rfam:Peptococcaceae bacterium BRH_c23 BRHa_1000645, whole genome shotgun sequence.
UAGACAGAUAGUAAAAUGGGUGAUCAACAAGCUGGACAUGAGAAAACCCUGACUAUGAUGCUGCCCGCGUUAGCAGGCGCUAACAUGAUUUAUGGCUUAG